UACGUAGGGUGCGAGCGUUAAUCGGAAUUACUGGGCGUAAAGCGUGCGCAGGCGGUUUUGUAAGCCAGGUGUGAAAUCCCCGGGCUCAACCUGGGAAUGGCAUUUGGGACUGCAAGGCUGGAGUGCGGCAGAGGAGACUGGAAUUCCUGGUGUAGCAGUGAAAUGCGUAGAUAUCAGGAGGAAUACCGAUGGCGAAGGCAGGUCUCUGGGCUGACACUGACGCUCAUGCACGAAAGCGUGGGGAGCGAAACAAG
rnacentral:rRNA from 1 species